rnacentral:rRNA from 1 species
CCUACGGGUGGCUGCAGUGGGGAAUAUUGGACAAUGGGCGAAAGCCUGAUCCAGCCAUGCCGCGUGUGUGAAGAAGGCCUUCGGGUUGUAAAGCACUUUCAGUGGGGAAGAAAGCCUUGUGGCUAAUACCCUCGAGGAAGGACAUCACCCACAGAAGAAGCACCGGCUAACUCCGUGCCAGCAGCCGCGGUAAUACGGAGGGUGCGAGCGUUAAUCGGAAUUACUGGGCGUAAAGCGUGCGUAGGCGGUCUGGUAAGCCUGUUGUGAAAGCCCCGGGCUCAACCUGGGAACGGCAUCGGGACUGUCAGGCUAGAGUGCAGGAGAGGAAGGUAGAAUUCCACGUGUAGCGGUGAAAUGCGUAGAGAUCGGGAGGAACACCAGUGGCGAAGGCAGCCUCCUGGACUGAGACUGACGCUGAGGUGCGAAAGCGUGGGUAGCAAACAGGAUUAGAUACCCGAGUAGUC